rnacentral:rRNA from 1 species
AUGAACGCUGGCGGCGUGCUUAGCCCAUGCCAGUCGAACGAUGAAGCCCAGCUUGCUGGGUGGAUUAGUGGCGAACGGGUGAGUAACACGUGAGUAACCUGCCCUUGACUCUGGGAUAAGCCUGGGAAACUGGGUCUAAUACUGGAUAUGACUUCUCAUCGCAUGGUGGGGGGUGGAAAGAUUUAUUGGUCUUGGAUGGACUCGCGGCCUAUCAGCUUGUUGGUGAGGUAAUGGCUCACCAAGGCGACGACGGGUAGCCGGCCUGAGAGGGUGACCGGCCACACUGGGACUGAGACACGGCCCAGACUCCUACGGGAGGCAGCAGUGGGGAAUAUUGCACAAUGGGCGCAAGCCUGAUGCAGCGACGCCGCGUGAGGGAUGACGGCCUUCGGGUUGUAAACCUCUUUCAGUAGGGAAGAAGCGAGAGUGACGGUACCUGCAGAAGAAGCGCCGGCUAACUACGUG